CCUAAGUACAGUUAUAAGUUUCUAUGUCCAACGUUUGAUCGUCCAUCUUAUUUGAAUUUUUUAUGAUUAGUAUUUUUUUAUUAGAUGAUAAAAUAUAAAUAGUAUUUUAUGUGUUAUUUUAAAAAGUUCAUAAAUUUUAAAAUAAAACGAACGUUCAGGAAAAAAAAAACACACAUAUGCAUUUAAA
rfam:Oryza glaberrima chromosome 5 Oglab05_0008_38, whole genome shotgun sequence.